rnacentral:rRNA from 1 species
AACGAACGCUGGCGGCAGGCUUAACACAUGCAAGUCGAACGCAUCCUUCGGGGUGAGUGGCAGACGGGUGAGUAAGGCGUGGGAACGUGCCCUUCAGUUCGGGAUAACCCAGGGAAACUUGGGCUAAUACCGGAUACGAGCGAGAGCAGAAAGAUUUAUCGCUGAAGGAUCGGCCCGCGUCUGAUUAGCUAGUUGGUGGGGUAAUGGCCCACCAAGGCGACGAUCAGUAGCUGGUCUGAGAGGAUGAUCAGCCACAUUGGGACUGAGACACGGCCCAAACUCCUACGGGAGGCAGCAGUGGGGAAUAUUGGACAAUGGGCGCAAGCCUGAUCCAGCCAUGCCGCGUGAGUGAUGAAGGCCUUAGGGUUGUAAAGCUCUUUCGUCCGGGACGAUAAUGACGGUACCGGAAGAAGAAGCCCCGGCUAACUUCGUGCCAGCCGCCGCCGUAAGAC